rnacentral:lncRNA from 1 species
AUUAUUUUUUAUUGAUCAUUUUUUUUUUGUUCGAUGUGAGCAAAACCAAUUCUACACAUUCAGUUAUGUCACAUUUAAGUGUAGGACUAUCAACUAGUUUUUUUUCUUUAUUCAAAAGAAAAUAAUUCAAAUUUUGUUACUGCACUUUUUAACUUUUUUAUUAUCGUAAGUACAGAAAAUUAUGUACAUAUAUAUGUUAUAUAGUAUGUAUACAAAACUCGUGUAUAAAUUUUAACGUAUAUGGUUAUGACAUAAUGUUAACAAAAUUUUGUCACAAAUAUGAAUACUUUUUUUUUUUUUUUUUUUUUUACUCCUAUUUAUAUUUAUUUAUUUUUUUUUGCACAUUCAGUUGCAUAUUACAUUUUAACUUUAAUUUUAACUUUAAUUUUAAUUUUAAUUUUAAUUUUAAUUUUUUUUUUUUUUUUUAUAGUUAUACUUAGAAAACGAAGAAAUUUUAAAAGGAUCGUUGAUGAAAAAUAAAAAAAUAGAACAGUUAGAACAAAACGAAAAUUUUAAUCAUAACAUCUUUUGUGAUAUAUUAAACAACCUUACAGCUAGCUAUGAUAAUGCCGAUAUUAUAGAUAAAUCCUUUUGCGAAUGUAUAAAUUUUUUGUUAAACAUUUUAAAUAUUCAACAUCCGGGUAAACUUAUUCAUUCAUCCAUCUAUCCAUUUGUUUAUUUGUUCAUUUAUUUUAUUUUAUUUUUUUUUAUAAUAAUUCGUGCAUAUAUAUUAUACUAUAAAUGGAAUGUUCAGUCUACUUAUUUUUUUUUUUUUUUUUUUUUUUUUUUUUUUUUCUUUUAG